AGGAAUUUUUCUCGGCACGUACAGUAGUUCGUUCAGGUAUAAAACGCGAGUUCGAUCUACAAUUUACUGAGCACUUCUGAAUAGAGGACCGUCUGGAAACAACUGAGCGUCAUCUACUCCGUUGCAUUACCCGAAAAAUAAGCAUGCAGCUGAAAGUGAUCCUUGUGGGCUUGGCCAUCUUUGGUCUCAUUGUGGCAGAGAGCAAUGCCAUGCCGGCCAGCAGCUCCAGUGAAGCCGAGGCCAGGGCUGAUCCCGAGACUGCAGAGCGUGCCGAGCAGAGCAACGCCGAGGAGGCACGUGUCGGCACAAAAUGUAUAGAAACACUGUGUGGGUAGUAACCCGAUGCAAGAGAGUGACAGGAUCGCAAGAUCGUCCCUCGCAACAGUAGCACAAGCAAUGCUGGA